GUGUGAGCCGAGGAGAUUCGCUCCCAACGUAGGAGAAAGGGCGUCUGGCCGCACCGUGCGGUGAUGAGCCCGUGGGUUCGAGUGACGGGGCUGGAGAAACCCAGGCUGCUGCUUUGCCUGUUGCAGCACCCAAGCUGAGAGGUGACAGCGUGCUGGCAGUCCUCACAGCCCUCGCUCGCUCUCCAGGCCUCCUCUGCCUGGGCUCCCACUUUGGCGGCACUUGAGGAGCCCUUCAGCCCACCGCUGCACUGUGGGAGCCCCUUUCUGGGCUGGCCAAGAGAAUGGGACAUUUUAGAGACUGAAGAGCAUUAUAAGAGCCGAUGGAGAUCUAUUAGGAUUUUAUAUCUUACUAUGUUUCUCAGCAGUGUAGGGUUUUCUAUAGUGAUGAUGUCCAUAUGGCCAUAUCUCCAAAAGAUUGAUCCGACAGCUGAUACAAGUUUUUUGGGCUGGGUUAUUGCUUCAUAUAGUCUUGGCCAAAUGGUAGCUUCACCUAUAUUUGGUUUAUGGUCUAAUUAUAGACCAAGAAAAGAGGCUCUUAUUGUCUCCAUCUUGAUUUCCGUGGCAGCCAACUGCCUCUAUGCAUAUCUCCACAUCCCAGCUUCCCAUAAUAAAUACUACAUGCUGGUUGCUCGUGGAUUGUUGGGAAUUGGAGCAGGAAAUGUAGCAGUUGUUAGAUCAUAUACUGCUGGUGCUACUUCCCUUCAGGAAAGAACAAGUUCCAUGGCAAACAUAAGCAUGUGUCAAGCAUUAGGUUUUAUUCUAGGUCCAGUUUUUCAGACUUGUUUUACAUUCCUUGGAGAAAAAGGUGUGACAUGGGAUGUGAUUAAACUGCAGAUAAACAUGUAUACAACACCAGUUUUACUUAGCGCCUUCCUGGGAAUUUUAAAUAUUAUUCUGAUCCUUGCCAUACUAAGAGAACAUCGUGUGGAUGACUCAGGAAGACAGUGUAAAAGUAUUAAUUUUGAAGAAGCAAGUACAGAUGAAGCUCAGGUUCCCCAAGGAAAUAUUGACCAGGUUGCUGUUGUGGCCAUCAAUGUUCUGUUUUUUGUGGCUCUAUUUAUCUUUGCCCUUUUUGAAACGUAAGUUUUAUUCCAUCUUCAUCUGAAUCAGAUUAUGUUUUAACCUUUAUUUCUUAAUGCAAUGUUAAUUAGGCAUAUAGAUGUUAUUGAAAAUCUUAUGUAAGGCAAAUUUUUCUUACCAUGAUGUAAAAAAUGUAUAUACAUUUUGUUGCUUGUAACUUGAAUGUAGUUAAUUAUUUGUCCAUAAUCUUAACUACCUUAUCUUAUUUUCUUAUAAAAGAAUGUUUCACUACUCUUUCCCUCUUUCAUCUAAGUUUUAUGAUAAAUACAGUUAUAAAACUUUAGUGCCAUGAUUUAAUUAUCCUUAAGCUCUAUAAUUUCCUACAUAUAUGUGUAUAUAUAUAUGAUUCAAUCUGGUAAUUUUAACUCAAUUUAAUACCUGACCUUGAAGAAAAACCUAGUAUAUUACAAAAUCUCUGCCUUGUGCAGGCUUUAUUGACCUUUAUCAUAUGGCUGUUUUAUUUUUAAAAUAACUUUCCAUGAAAUUAUAAAAAUAGUACAUUCAAAUCCCAAAUAUUACAACUGUAUUUCUAUAUCCACUCCUUUCUGUGAAAGUAACCACUGCUAAUACUUUAGUUUGUAUUUUUUCAAACAUUUUUCCUAUGUAUGUAUAAGAGUGUAUGUAUAUACAUGUAUCUAUUAA
rnacentral:sRNA from 1 species